AACUUUUAGCAUAUAUUUUCAUAGUCUACUUUAUUUUACUUUAUUCUUAUUUUAUAUGUUCCCAUACUUAGCAAUUCCUUAUUGACAUCUAAAGCAUUCCUUAUUAUUUAUUUCUAAAGGUUGUCCAAGCUGUUGUUUAUUUCUUAAUCCCCUAGAAUAUUUAGUGAUUUCACAGUAAUUGUUAAUCCUUAUUGUCAGUGACACUGCUCAUGGCACUGGGCACUCAUAGGUGUUAUUUAGGGUAAACAAAACCACUUUGACUUCUUCACAUCAAAGGGAUGACACUGAUAACUUAAUUAUUUGAUUAGCCCUAAGUGACAACUUUACCUUAGGCAAUUCAUAGAGAAAUUAAUUCUUUUACAUUAGUUCUUUUAGAAGAGAGUUAGCUUUGAGACUUCGGACUGAAAGGAUGUAGGGCGAAGCUAGGAAAUCAUGUAGAGUGUUAGGAGACAAAUUUCUAAUUCAUCUGUUUAGGCCCCUUUCUCUAAAUUACAGUUAGGAACAAGACUUGCUCAUUAAUGUUGUUACCUGCGUGUGUAGAUUGGAUUAUUUAACAUUCAAUCUUUAAUAAACAUUUCUCAUAUCCUGCC
rnacentral:sRNA from 1 species